rnacentral:rRNA from 1 species
AUUGAACGCUGGCGGCAUGCCUUACACAUGCAAGUCGAACGGUAACAGGUUAAGCUGACGAGUGGCGAACGGGUGAGUAAUGUAUCGGAACGUGCCCAGUCGUGGGGGAUAACUGCUCGAAAGAGCAGCUAAUACCGCAUACGACCUGAGGGUGAAAGCGGGGGAUCGCAAGACCUCGCGCGAUUGGAGCGGCCGAUAUCAGAUUAGGUAGUUGGUGGGGUAAAGGCCUACCAAGCCUACGAUCUGUAGCUGGUCUGAGAGGACGACCAGCCACACUGGGACUGAGACACGGCCCAGACUCCUACGGGGGGCAGCAGUGGGGAAUUUUGGACAAUGGACGCAAGUCUGAUCCAGCCAUGCCGCGCGCGGGAAGAAGGCCUUCGGGUUGUAAACCGCUUUUGUCAGGGAAGAAAAGGUUCUGGUUAAUACCUGGGACUCAUGACGGUACCUGAAGAAUAAGCACCGGCUAACUACGUGCCAGCCGCCGCAGUAA